rnacentral:lncRNA from 1 species
GUUAACCUCUGUAAACCAAGAAAAUAGUGGUAAAAGGGGUAGGAUAAUCUCAACUUCAUAAAAUUAUUGAGGAUUAAAUGGAAUGCUGAUUAACAAAGUGUGUAUCAUGGGCUUCAUCUGUGGCCUUAAAAUGUAUUGAUCGAAUUCCAUCUUCAUAGCAUCUACUUGUGCUGAGCUGAAUGUGGCAGAUACCUUAGCACUUGAGGUGUCUUUACUCUGCAUGGUUGAGAAAACUAGAUCAUCACUACCUGCAUACGCCUUCUCGUGUCAGAGUGAAGCUCAAGGAAACUCCUCGUGGUCAUUGAUCCCUGAAGAACACUUGAAGACAAACCCUAUUGGAUAAAGGUGGUGGAUUUUUAGCUUUUCUUCUUCCACUUCAGGGCUCAGCAAAU